CCUACGGGAGGCAGCAGUGAGGAAUAUUGGUCAAUGGUCGGGAGACGGAACCAGCCAAGCCGCGUGAGGGAGGAAGGUACAGAGUAUCGUAAACCUCUUUUGUCAGGGAACAAAGACUGGGACGCGUCCCCGGAUGAGUGUACCUGAAGAAAAAGCAUCGGCUAACUCCGUGCCAGCAGCCGCGGUAAUACGGAGGAUGCGAGCGUUAUCCGGAUUUAUUGGGUUUAAAGGGUGCGCAGGCGGUCUGUUAAGUCAGCGGUGAAAGCCCGGGGCUCAACCCCGGCCCGCCGUUGAAACUGGCAGUCUCGAGUUGGAGAGAAGUAUGCGGAAUGCGCGGUGUAGCGGUGAAAUGCAUAGAUAUCGCGCAGAACUCCGAUUGCGAAAGCAGCAUGCCGGCUCCACACUGACGCUGAGGCACGAAAGCGUGGGUAUCGAACAGGAUUAGAUACCCCGGUAGUC
rnacentral:rRNA from 1 species